GACGAACGCUGGCGGCGUGCUUAACACAUGCAAGUCGAACGGUGAACGAGGGAGCUUGCUCCCUCCGGAUCAGUGGCGAACGGGUGAGUAACACGUGAGCAAUCUGCCCCGAACUCUGGGAUAAGCGUUGGAAACGACGUCUAAUACCGGAUACGACGCGGGAGGGCAUCCUCUCCGCGUGGAAAGAACUUCGGUUCGGGAUGAGCUCGCGGCCUAUCAGCUUGUUGGUGAGGUAACGGCUCACCAAGGCGACGACGGGUAGCCGGCCUGAGAGGGUGGACAGCGACACUAGGACUGAGGGACGGCGCAGAGGCGAACGGUGGGCAGCGGUGGAAAGUAUGGCACAGUGAGGGCGAGCGUGAGGCAGCGGCGCCGCGGUAGGGACGACGGCCUGCGGGUUGUGAAACGCUUUUGGCAAAGAAGAAGCGAAAGUGACGGUACCGGCAGAAAAAGCACCGGCUAACUACGUG
rnacentral:rRNA from 1 species